rnacentral:rRNA from 1 species
UGGGGAAUAUUGCGCAAUGGGGGAAACCCUGACGCAGCGACGCCGCGUGAAGGAAGAAGGUCUUCGGAUUGUAAACUUCUUUGACUGGGGACGAAGUAAGUGACGGUACCCAGGGAACAAGCCACGGCUAACUACGUGCCAGCAGCCGCGGUAAUACGUAGGUGGCGAGCGUUGUCCGGAAUUACUGGGUGUAAAGGGCGUGUAGGCGGGUAUGCAAGUCAGAUGUGAAAUACCGCAGCUCAACUGAGGUGUUGCAUCUGAAACUGCAUAUCUUGAGUACUGGAGAGGGAAGCGGAAUUCCUAGUGUAGCGGUGAAAUGCGUAGAGAUUAGGAGGAACACCAGUGGCGAAGGCGGCUUCCUGGCCAGAGACUGACGCUGAGGCGCGAAAGCGUGGGGAGCAAACAGG